rnacentral:rRNA from 1 species
UGUGGAAUAUUGCACAAUGGGCGCAAGCCUGAUGCAGCGACGCCGCGUGGGGGAUGACGGCCUUCGGGUUGUAAACUCCUUUCGCUAGGGACGAAGCUUUUUGUGACGGUACCUAGAUAAGAAGCACCGGCUAACUACGUGCCAGCAGCCGCGGUAAUACGUAGGGUGCGAGCGUUGUCCGGAAUUACUGGGCGUAAAGGGCUCGUAGGUGGUUUGUCGCGUCGUCUGUGAAAUUCCGGGGCUUAACUCCGGGCGUGCAGGCGAUACGGGCAUAACUUGAGUACUGUAGGGGUAACUGGAAUUCCUGGUGUAGCGGUGAAAUGCGCAGAUAUCAGGAGGAACACCGAUGGCGAAGGCAGGUUACUGGGCAGUUACUGACGCUGAGGAGCGAAAGCAUGGGUAGCGAACAGG